rnacentral:rRNA from 2 species
CUCCGGGAAACCGGAGCUAAUACCGGAUAACACAUAUCUUCGCAUGAGGAUAUGUUAGAAGGUGGCUUUUAGCUACCACUCAAGGAUGGGCCCGCGGCGCAUUAGCUAGUUGGUGAGGUAACGGCUCACCAAGGCGACGAUGCGUAGCCGACCUGAGAGGGUGAUCGGCCACACUGGGACUGAGACACGGCCCAGACUCCUACGGGAGGCAGCAGUAGGGAAUCUUCCGCAAUGGACGAAAGUCUGACGGAACAACGCCGCGUGAGUGAUGAAGGUUUUCGGAUCGUAAAGCUCUGUUGUUAGGGAAGAACAAGUACCUGUUGAAUAAGCAGGUACCUUGACGGUACCUAACCAGAAAGCCACGGCUAACUACGUGCCAGCAGCCGCGGUAAUACGUAGGUGGCAAGCGUUGUCCGGAAUUAUUGGGCGUAAAGCGCGCGCAGGCGGUUCCUUAAGUCUGAUGUGAAAGCCCCCGGCUCAACCGUGGAGGGUCAUUGGAAACUGGGGAACUUGAGUGCAGAAGAGGAGAGCGGAAUUCCACGUGUAGCGGUGAAAUGCGUAGAGAUGUGGAGGAACACCAGUGGCGAAGGCGGCUCUCUGGUCUGUAACUGACGCUGAGGCGCGAAAGCGUGGGGAGCGAACAGGAUUAGAUACCCUGGUAGUCCACGCCGUAAACGAUGAGUGCUAAGUGUUAGAGGGUUUCCGCCCUU